AUAUUACGCAAUGGAGGAAACUCUGACGCAGCGACGACGCGUGCGCGAUGAAGGUCUUCGGCUCGUAAAGCAUUGCUCUUGGGGAAGAAGAUCGAAAGAUUUGUCGGUACCCGCGUAGGCAGCCCCGGCUACCUUCGUGCCACCAGCCGCGGUAAUACGUAGGGGGCAAGCGGUCUCCGGAAUUAUUGGGCGUAAAGGGUGCGUAGGCGGCUGUGUAAGUCAGAUGUGAAAGACCACGGCUUAACCGUGGGGUUGCAUUUGAAACUGUAAGGCUUGAGUAUCGGAGAGGGUAGUGGAAUACCCAGUGUAGCGGUGAAAUGCGUAGAGAUUGGGAGGAACACCAGUGGCGAAGGCGACUACCUGGACGAAAACUGACGCUGAUGCACGAAAGCUAGGGGAGCAAAU
rnacentral:rRNA from 1 species